GGACCAGCUGGUCAACGUGGCCCAACGCAACAGCGUCUACCAGGCGCUGGACCGGCUCGUCCGGGACGGGCUGGCCCGCC
rnacentral:tRNA from 1 species